CCUACGGGAGGCAGCAGUGGGGAAUAUUGCACAAUGGGGGAAACCCUGAUGCAGCGACGCCGCGUGAAGGAAGAAGUAUUUCGGUAUGUAAACUUCUAUCAGCAGGGAAGAAAAUGACGGUACCUGACUAAGAAGCCCCGGCUAACUACGUGCCAGCAGCCGCGGUAAUACGUAGGGGGCAAGCGUUAUCCGGAUUUACUGGGUGUAAAGGGAGCGUAGGCGGUUGAGCAAGUCAGAAGUGAAAGCCGGGGGCUCAACCCCGGGACUGCUUUGGAAACUGUGGAACUGGAGUGCAGGAGAGGUAAGUGGAAGUCCUAGUGUAGCGGUGAAAUGCGUAGAUAUUAGGAGGAACACCAGUGGCGAAGGCGGCUGACUGGACUGUAAAUGACGCUGAGGCUCGAAAGCGUGGGGAGCAAACAGGAUUAGAUACCCGGGUAGUC
rnacentral:rRNA from 1 species